rnacentral:rRNA from 1 species
AUAUAAUUAAGCGGAGGAAAAGAAACUAACCAGGAUUCCCUCAGUAAGGGCGACUGAAGCGGGAAGAGCUCAGGAUGUGAAUCUGCGCCUUGUGCGCCGAAUUGUGGUCUGUCGACGGUGGCAUUACUGGCCGGGCCAAGUCCUUUGGAACAAGGCAGCUGAGAGGGUGAGACUCCCGUCCGCCUGGCUAGGUGAGCCACUAGUCUACGAGUCGAGUUGUUUGGGAUUGCAGCUCUAAGUGGGUGGUAAAUUCCAUCUAAAGCUAAAUAUUGGUGGGAGACCGAUAGCGCACAAGUA